AUGCCCAGUAUACCAGAUGAUCUGAGUCCUGCAGUGUUGAACUCACAGGACUAUAAACCUUCUCAGUUCUCUGGAGGAUCAGCUGAUGAUGCAAAGCCUCCUCUCUAUGGAAAUGAUUUCUCUGCUCUCAACACAAUGAAGACCAUGACUUUUGGUGGAGGAACCAAACUCAUCGUUCACUCUGGCCCCAUGGUCAGGCCCUCAGUCUCUCUGCUUCCCCCCUCCUCUGAGCAGAUCUCUGAGGGGUCGGCCACGCUGGCCUGCCUGCUGACCGGCUACUCUCCUCAGGGAGCCGUGGUGAGCUGGGAGGUGGACGGUACAGAGGUGACAGAGGGGGUCCUGACCAGCUCAGAGGAGGAGAAGAGUGGACGUUACAGCAGCAGCAGCAUCCUGAGCCUGAGCCAGAAGAGCUGGAUGAAAGGAGAGCUGUUCUCCUGUCAGGUCCUCCAUCAUGACCACAGACAGACCCAGUCCCUCCACAGGAGCCAGUGUGUGGACUAGAGGAGCUGACCGAAGCCCAGGACAGCAGCUGUGUGUGGGGGAGCAGGUGGAACACACCUGCUGCUCUGAUCAAUAUGAGUUUUAAUGUUUGGAGAAGAAACUAAAGCUUUGUGUGACACAGAACAAACUGCUGUAAAGUGGUGAUAACAACAACUUACAGAGUAAAAUGUGCAUCUCAGCAGCUGGAUGUGAGUGUGUAUGUUGUCGGUCAUUGUUUGCUAAUAAAGCUUGUUCUGAAU